rnacentral:rRNA from 1 species
GCAAUGCCGCGUGGAGGUAGAAGGCCCACGGGUCGUGAACUUCUUUUCUCGGAGAAGAAGCAAUGACGGUAUCUGAGGAAUAAGCAUCGGCUAACUCUGUGCCAGCAGCCGCGGUAAGACAGAGGAUGCAAGCGUUAUCCGGAAUUAUUGGGCGUAAAGCGUCUGUAGGUGGUCAAAUAAGUCAACUGUUAAAUCUCGAGGCUCAACCUCAAAAUCGCAGUCGAAACUAUUAGACUAGAGUAUAGUAGGGGUAGAGGGAAUUCCCAGUGUAGCGGUGAAAUGCGUAGAUAUUGGGAAGAACACCGGUGGCGAAAGCGCUUUACUGGGCCGACACUGACACUGAGAGACGAAAGCUAGGGUAGCAAAUGGGAUUAGAUACCCCAGUA